rnacentral:rRNA from 1 species
AAACCAACAGGGAUUGCCCCAGUAACGGCGAGUGAAGCGGCAACAGCUCAAAUUUGAAAUCUGGCCCCCCGCCCGAGUUGUAAUUUGGAGAGGAUGCUUUUGGCGCGGCGCCGUCCGAGUUCCUUGGAACAGGACGCCACAGAGGGUGAGAGCCCCGUACGGACGGACGCCUAGCCUAUACAAAGCUCCUUCGACGAGUCGAGUAGUUUGGGAAUGCUGCUCAAAAUGGGAGGUAAAUUUCUUCUAAAGCUAAAUACCGGCCAGAGACCGAUAGCGCACAAGUAGAGUGAUCGAAAGAUGAAAAGCACUUUGAAAAGAGGGUUAAAAAGUACGUGAAAUUGUUGAAAGGGAAGCGCCUGUGACCAGACUUGCGCCCCGUGGACCACCCGGCGUUCUCGCCGGUGCACUCCGCGGGGCGCAGGCCAGCAUCGGUUUUCCUAGGGGGACAAAGGCUGCGGGAACGUAGCUCCUUCGGGAGUGUUAUAGCCCGCGGCGGCAUGCCCCUGGGGGGACCGAGGACCGCGCUUCGGCAAGGAUGCUGGCGUAAUGGUCACCAGCGACCCGUCUUGAAACACGGACCAAGGAGUCAAGCAUUGGGGCGAGUGUAUGGGUGCCAAACCCGCACGCGAAAUGAAAGUAAACGCAGGUGAGAGCUUCGGCGCAUCAUCGACCGAUCCUGAUGUCUUCGGAUGGAUUUGAGUAAGAGCCUUACCGCUUGGACCCGAAAGAUGGUGAACUAUGCCUGAAUAGGGUGAAGCCAGAGGAAACUCUGGUGGAGGCUCGCAGCGGUUCUGACGUGCAAAUCGAUCGUCAAAUUUGGGCAUGGG